CAAUAAAGGAAGCUUGGUAAUGUGCACAUAAAUUGAAUUAGGUCUUUAGACCUAUCUUCUCUGAUGUCAUUUGGCUUUAUUUUGAGGCAUGGUUUCGCACCAAAAUA